GCCCCGCGCGGUGCCUACGCGGCAGGCGACAGGUGCGCGCGCACCUGCGCCGAGGGUCCGGAAUCUUCAUCCCUAGAGCGCGCACUGGAUGCUCCACGACCCACCUGAAGGGUGGCCAGUGGCUCUCGGGUCUCUCCUUUAGCCAGGAUGGAGUUUGGCGAGAGAUUUACAGAACCGGGAUUACCUUCCCAACUAGAUCUGACCCGCCUAGCAAAUGGUCUCUAGUAAAUACUACAGUAGUACACGAUCUGAGAUUGGUUGGGUUCCCGGAUGCAGAACCUUGGAUACAGAGGAACCAAGUUUACGGAGAGGCAACUAUGAAUUACAUGCGGGGAUUUCUGAUUGUGAAGCGCCCCUAACCCCAGCAUUGUUCAAGGGUCAACCGGAGUUCCCAAUUGUCCGGAUCACCUGCUCCAUCCACAACUUCAUAGUCAGUCUCUUUGUCAGUCACUUCUGAUCUGAUAUGUGCUACUACCAAGACCAUUCAUGAGAAUUUGUCCCUUGAAAGGUAACAGUAUCUUUCCUCUUGCAAAUCAAAGAAUCUGUGUUAAGUUCUCACUCCUUCACUAUGUCCUUUUUUGCUACUAUUGACUCUGCCCUCUCUUCAGAAAACUUUUUCCCUCCAUAAUCCUGCCUACAUUGUCUUGUGUGGAUUCCCAGAAAGGGUAAAACAUACAAUUCAAGGGAAAAGAAAAGGGUUACAAAAGCCUCUCUAUGUUCUUUGCCUCUUGUUUGCAGAAAAGCUGAAGUCUCCCAGGCUUCCCAGGGUCACAAAGGAGCAGGCUCGAGCAGUUAAUGUCCUAGUGACUAGGACAACAGAGUCAUAGAUUCAGUGUCUGAUGCACAUUCUGAGUUGUUUUACAAGUACUAUAACUAGCACCAGAGGACAUGACAUAAGCUGCUCCAACUUGAGCAGUACUGUAUCUACGGCUAGCACAAUUCCAA